CCGAGUUAAUAGCUCCCUAACCCAUGUGAACAUACCAAUCGUUGCUUCGGCGGAUCGCCCCGGCGCCAUCGCGGCCCGGAGCCAGGCGCCCGCCGGGGACCCCAAACCCUUGAAUUAUUAAAGUAUCUUCUGAGUAAACAAGCAAAUAAAUUA
rnacentral:misc_RNA from 1 species